rnacentral:rRNA from 1 species
ACUCAAAUGAAUUGACGGGGGCCCGCACAAGCGGUGGAGCAUGUGGUUUAAUUCGAUGCAACGCGAAGAACCUUACCUACCCUUGACAUCCUCGGAAUCCCUCAGAGAUGAGGGAGUGCCUUCGGGAACCGAGAGACAGGUGAUGCAUGGCUGUCGUCAGCUCGUGUCGUGAGAUGUUGGGUUAAGUCCCGUAACGAGCGCAACCCCUGUCCUUAGUUGCUACCAGUUCGGCUGAGCACUCUAAGGAGACUGCCGGUGAUAAACCGGAGGAAGGCGGGGAUGACGUCAAGUCAUCAUGUCCCUUACGGGUAGGGCUACACACGUGCUACAAUGGACAGUACAGAGGGUUGCCAAACUGCAAAGUGGAGCUAAUCCCAUAAAACUGUUCGUAGUCCGGAUUGGAGUCUGCAACUCGACUCCAUGAAGUUGGAAUCGCUAGUAAUCGCAAAUCAGCAUGUUGCGGUGAAUACGUUCCCGGGCCUUGUACACACCGCCCGU